rfam:Biomphalaria glabrata isolate BB02 unplaced genomic scaffold LGTN_random_Scaffold191, whole genome shotgun sequence.
AGCAAAGGUUCAUCGCUGUCUUUUAACUAGGCAGAGGAAAGUCCAGACUCGCACAACCUGAGAUGGUAGUAGUUUUUAUGCUAGGUUAAAGAAUAAACCUAGGCUAAAGUAAUUUAGACGGCUGACGAAUAUGCUAAGGAUUUAUAUCUAUGCAUUAGUAGUCUAUAAAAGUGCAAAAGAGACGAGCUUAAUUAGAAAUGAUUAAGGUGGAACGUUGUAAACCCCAUAAGCGAGCAACCCAAAUUAAUGGUAGGGGCAGGCAAACUAGGAAUUUAACGAUGUUUGUUGGUAGCAAUACAAGAUAAAUGAUGAACAAAACAGAAUCUGGCUUACGUUU